UGGGCCUCCUCUCUCUCCAGACCCACCUCUGGCCCCACAUAGUAGGUCCGAAAUGCUGAGCAAAUGAAGGAUGGGUUAAUGAUGCACUCUUGUCAAUGCAUGAAUGAAUGAGUGAGCAGACACCUCCAGCAGGAGCCCCAGGCUCCCUGG